rnacentral:sRNA from 2 species
GGGGAAGGGUGAGAACCUUCGACUAAGGUUCGAUUCGAGCGAAAGCGAGAGAACGUUGCCACAGGCAACGGCCCGAAGGGUGAGGAGCGAAGCGACGAAUAAUCCUUCCCCCACCACCA